rnacentral:lncRNA from 1 species
UUCUGUCUUGAUAAGACAGACUGCCCGGGGAGAGGUGGUUGCUAGGAAACUCGAGAGGAGCCUUAGGUAGCCACUAAUCUAAAUGAACGUAAAUUAUUAUAAUCUGAGGAACAAGGAGUGCAUUGCAAAUUUAAUCAAUAGCUUAACAUAUUAUUGUGCUUUAAAAUUAAAGUUUCAGAACUGAAAAAAAAAGCUCCAUGAAACUUAGGAAGCAAUGAAACUGACUAAGCUUCAUUUCAUUGUUUCUUUGCAAAUCUUCAAUGAAGUGUGUAUGUUAAAUGGAUUAGCUGGCCAUUUCAUGCUCAGUAACGUUUGUGAUAUUAGCUUUGCAUUUGUUUUUAAUUCAUGUAAUGAGUUUAGAUUUUUAUGUUACAAGGCAAUCAUGCUAGCCUUGUAACUGUGAGGCACCCCAUGUAUUUUCUAUGGAAUCAUUUCAACCAAACUCUGUUGGCAUUAUUUCCAUUUGUUUUAACUCUAUGACUCUGAACUCUACUUCCUACACUGAGGAUGAAACCAUAGUCAAAGCUGUCACUAUGCCUGUUUAAUUCACGACACAGAUCUCUUCCCUAUCUCAGUUGGGCAAGCCCCAAAUAAGAAAGCUUCAUCUAGGGCAUCCAAAUGCCCUGGUCUACCUGGUAUCUGCCCAUGUUACCCUGGUUGCCCUGGCAUGCCACUCAGUCUAACAUAUUUCACAGGUAUUUCAACUUUAACUACUUUGGAUACUGGUAGUUGCAUUAGGAUAAUCAGAAUGGGUUUGGAGGACCUCCUCCAUGCUCUUCCCAAAUCUAUCAUUGACAUCCAUAUGCAAGAAGCAUUUUCACUUGUUAUGGACUGAAUGCUUGUGCCCCCAGAUUCAUAUGUUGAAUUCCUAAUCUCCCUUGGAACGGUUUUAGGAAGUGGAAUGGUCGAGGCCUCUGGCAGGUAGCUGUGGAUGAGGUCAUGAUGGUGGAUUUUCUUGUAAAAAGAGGCCAGAGCUCUCUCUCUACCAUAUGAAGAUAUGGCAAGAAAGCAUCUUCUGUGAACCAGAAAGAAGGCCCUCACUAAGAACUCAAUCUGCUGGCACUUUGAUUUUGGACUUCCCAGACUCCAGAAUGGUGAGAAAUCAGCGUUUGUUGUUUCUGCCAGGCAGUCUGUGGAAUUUUGCUAUAGCAGCUCGACCCAGUGGAGACAUCACUUGGCACAUGAUAAAUCCAGUGCAGGCAUUCACGACCACGUUCUCUUGUCUACGUCAUCUGCUGGUACAGCAGAAACAGCACCAGCCUUUGAGCAGAGUGAGCAGGAUGUUUGCUGAUAGAACACAGUGGCUUUCACGUAAGCAGCCUAGCUACCGUGGCCUGGGGAAGUGCCUCUUGCCCAUACCUGUGCUGUACACUUGAGCCAAACAAGAUGCACAAAUGUUUCAGGUCAAUGCAGGAGUGGACAGCAUCAGGGGGCCUGAGAAAUUAUAAGUUAGGUGUUGUUAUUGUUUAUUUGUUUUCAUCAGAUAUCAAGUUGCGAUUUGUUCCCACUGUGGGCAGUGUUCGAGGAGUGUCUAGUAGGACAUGUCUGGAUCAUAGGGACAAAUUCCUCAUGAAUGGCUUGGGGCUAUUGUCCUGGUAGGAAGUUCUCACUCUCCUGAAGUUGGAGUAGUCCUGAGGGGACUCCUCCUGAGAAUGGGUUGUUGUAAAGAGAGGGUACUCCUGCUGUUUGGUCACUCUUUGCAUGUGCCCACUUCCUCUUCAAACAUUUUUGCUAUGUCUUGACUCAGAACAGAAGUCCUCACCAGAAGCCUAGCAGAAGCUAACAUCAUGCUCCAUGUACAGCCUGCAGAACUGUGAGCCAAAUAAACCUCUUUUUUAAAAAUAUAAAUUGCUAAACCUCAGAUAAUUAUUUAUAGCAACACAAAAUGGACUAAGAUUGUGUGUAUGACCUACAGGUGGAAGGCAGUGUGGGAAAUAUGUGUGAGGAAAUGCUAUCGCUUUCUAAGUUUCCUAUGUGGCAUUGUUUGUCUUAUGAUCAUAAUUACUAUUAAUUCUUAUUUAGAAACAAGUAUUCCAAUUUUUGUCGCAUUUUGGUCAAAAAAAUUAAAAUUGUUUAAUCAAAGUAUUCAAUGAAUUAACUCCAAAAUACUUCUGUUGGAAGCUUUAAACUAAUUGCAAUACUAAAGGCAAAGCUUUCAAAAAGGAAAGUAUUGUAGUUUAUACAGAUAAAAGCAAAAUAUGGACUCAAAUAAUGGAAGCUCAAAUGUGUAUAAUAUUUAAGUUUAAAAUUCAGUUUUGUGAUCCCUCAGUCAUGGGAAAAAGCUUUAGUCAGAACUACUACUUUUAAUUAAAUAAAUGAAU